AAGCAGGUCAUAGUGAUCCGGUGGUUCUGAAUGGAAGGGCCAUCGCUCAACGGAUAAAAGGUACUCCGGGGAUAACAGGCUGAUACCGCCCAAGAGUUCAUAUCGACGGCGGUGUUUGGCACCUCGAUGUCGGCUCAUCACAUCCUGGGGCUGAAGUAGGUCCCAAGGGUAUGGCUGUUCGCCAUUUAAAGUGGUACGCGAGCUGGGUUUAGAACGUCGUGAGACAGUUCGGUCCCUAUCUGCCGUGGGCGCUGGAGAAUUGAGGGGGGCUGCUCCUAGUACGAGAGGACCGGAGUGGACGCAUCACUGGUGUUCGGGUUGUCAUGCCAAUGGCACUGCCCGGUAGCUAAAUGCGGAAGAGAUAAGUGCUGAAAGCAUCUAAGCACGAAACUUGCCCCGAGAUGAGUUCUCCCUGACUCCUUGAGAGUCCUGAAGGAACGUUGAAGACGACGACGUUGAUAGGCCGGGUGUGUAAGCGCAGCGAUGCGUUGAGCUAACCGGUACUAAUGAACCGUGAGGCUUAACCUUACAACGCCGAAG
rnacentral:rRNA from 1 species